CCUACGGGAGGCAGCAGGGAGGAAUAUUGGGCAAUGGACGAGAGUCUGAACCAGCCAAGUAGCGGGAAGGAUGACUGCCCGAUGGGUGGUAAACUUCUUUUAUAUGGGAAUAAAAUGCUCCACGUGUGGGAUUUUGUAUGUACCAUAUGAAUAAGGAUCGGCUAACUCCGUGCCAGCAGCCGCGGUAAUACGGAGGAUCCGAGCGUUAUCCGGAUUUAUUGGGUUUAAAGGGGGCGUAGGUGGAUUGUUAAGUCAGUUGUGAAAGUUUGCGGCUCAACCGUAAAAUUGCAGUUGAAACUGGCAGUCUUGAGUACAGUAGAGGUGGGCGGAAUUCGUGGUGUAGCGGUGAAAUGCUUAGAUAUCACGAAGAACUCCGAUUGCGAAGGCAGCUCACUGGACUGCAACUGACACUGAGGCUCGAAAGUGUGGGUAUCAAACAGGAUUAGAUACCCUGGUAGUC
rnacentral:rRNA from 1 species